rnacentral:rRNA from 1 species
AUUGAACGCUGGCGGCAUGCCUUACACAUGCAAGUCGAACGGUAACAGGUCUUCUGAUGCUGACGAGUGGCGAACGGGUGAGUCAUACAUCGGACCGUGCCUAGUAGUGGGGGAUAACUACUCGAAAGAGUGGCUAAUACCGCAUGCCAUCUACGGCUGAAAGCAGGGGAUCGCACAACCUUUCCCUACUAGAGCGGCCGGUGGCAGAUUAGGUCGUUGGUGGGAUAAAAGCUUACCAAGCCGACGAUCUGUAGCUGGUCUGAGAGGACGAUCCGCCACACGGGGACUGAGACACGGCCCAGACUCCUACGGGAGGCAGCAGUGGGGAACUUUGGACAAUGGGCGAAAGCCUGAUCCAGCAAUGCCGCGUGCAGGAUGAAGGCCUUCGGGUUGUAAACUGCUUUUGUACGGAACGAAAAGCCCCGGGUUAAUACCCUGGGGUCAUGACGGUACCGUAAGAAUAAGCACCGGCUAACUACGUGCCAGCAGCCGCAGUAA